ACCACUGAUCCCAGGUAGACCACAUUGGAUCUGCUCGGAAUCAGCUACAGCACAUUUAUCAAGGGGAUCUGCCUGCACUACUGGCUUCUGAUGCGGAAACUGUGGUUUAGGUUGUUGAACCGGCUUCUGAAGUGGAGACUGUGGUUUAGUCAGUUGUUGAACUGGCUUCGGAAGCAUAUUUUGUGGAGGAAGCCACUGGUUAGUUGGUUGUUGAACUGGCUUCUGAAGCUGAAACUGCUGGGUCAUCAGAGACUGAACAUCCUGAAGCGAUUUACUCCAUUGUGGAACAGCAUGACAGAGAGCACAAACCACCAAAAUCUGAACCAAACACCAACCUCCAGCCAUUGUUCAACAACUAAACACAAAA